rnacentral:rRNA from 1 species
ACUCAAAUGAAUUGACGGGGGCCCGCACAAGCAGUGGAUCAUGUGGUUUAAUUCGAAGCAACGCGAAGAACCUUACCUGGACUUGACAUCCUCUGACCGAUGCAGAGAUGCAUAAUUCGUAGCAAUACGACAGAGAGACAGGUGCUGCAUGGCUGUCGUCAGCUCGUGUGGUGACAUGUUGGGUUAAGUCCCGCAACGAGCGCAACCCUUGUCUUUAGUUGCCAGCAUUAAGUUGGGCACUCUAGAGAGACUGCCGUGGUUAACACGGAGGAAGGUGGGGAUGACGUCAAGUCCUCAUGGCCUUUAUGUCCAGGGCGACACACGUGAUACAAUGGGCGACACAGAGGGACGCGAAACCGCGAGGUGGAGCAAAUCUCAAAAAAUCGCUCUUAGUUCGGAUUGGAGUCUGCAAUUCGACUCCAUGAAGGUGGAAUUGCUAGUAAUCGCGGAUCAGCACGCCGCGGUGAAUACGUUCCCGGGCCUUGUACACACCGCCCGU